rnacentral:rRNA from 1 species
GAAAACUCCGGUGGUAUGCGAUGGGUCCGCGUCUGAUUAGGCAGUUGGCGGGGUAACGGCCCACCAAACCGACGAUCAGUAGCCGGCCUGAGAGGGCGGACGGCCACACUGGGACUGAGACACGGCCCAGACUCCUGCGGGAGGCAGCAGUGGGGAAUAUUGCACAAUGGGGGAAACCCUGAUGCAGCGACGCCGCGUGAAGGAAGAAGUAUCUCGGUAUGUAAACUUCUAUCAGCAGGGAAGAAAACAGACGGUACCUGACUAAGAAGCCCCGGCUAACUACGUGCCAGCAGCCGCGGUAAUACGUAGGGGGCAAGCGUUAUCCGGAUUUACUGGGUGUAAAGGGGGCGCAGACGGCCAUGGCAAGCCCGGUGUGAAAGGCAGGGGCAUAACCCCUGGACUGCACUGGGAACUGUCAGGCUGGAGUGCCGGAGGGGUAAGCGGAAUUCCUGGUGUAGCGGUGAAAUGCGUAGAUAUCAGGAGGAACACCGGCGGCGAAGGCGGCUUACUGGACGGCAACUGACGUUGAGGCCCGAAAGCGUGGGGAGCGAACAGGAUUAGAUACCCUGGUAGUCCACGCCGUAAACGAUGUAUACCAGGUGUCGGAUAUCAAGGAUAUCCG